AAACUUCACACUGGGGGGAACCCCGAUGAGGGAAAUCCUAGUGCUAGGACAUUUGUUCUAGCUUUUCUCAAGCGUAGAUAACUUGAGGAAUAAGGGCUGGGUAAGACGGGUGCCAGCCGCCGCGGUAAUACCUGCAGCCCAAGUGGUGGUCGAUUUUAUUGAGUCUAAAACGUUCGUAGCCGGUUUGGUAAAUCUUUGGGUAAAUCGGGAGGCUCAACUUUCCGACUUCCGAAGAGACUGCCAAACUUGGGACCGGGAGAGGCUAGAGGUACUUCUGGGGUAGGGGUAAAAUCCUGUAAUCCUAGAAGGACCACCGGUGGCGAAGGCGUCUAGCUAGAACGGAUCCGACGGUGAGGGACGAAGCCCUGGGUCGCAAACGGGAUUAGAUACCCCGGUAGUCCAGGGUGUAAACGCUGCAGACUUGGUGUUGGAGGCAAUUCGGUUGCAUUCAGUGCCGGAGAGAAGUUGUUAAGUCUGCUACUUGGGGAGUACGUCCGCAAGGAUGAAACUUAAAGGAAUU
rnacentral:rRNA from 1 species